rnacentral:sRNA from 1 species
CGAUGUCAGAAGACAGAAUGAGCCAAGUGAAAUAGUUCAGAGAAUCAUGGGACCCAUCCGUAAUCAACCAAAUUUUUCAGUGAAAUAUGAAGAGCAACGGUCCAGCAAAAGGGGAAUGUUAUUGGAGCAUGGAGCCUGGAAUCUGUUGUUGAGUAAUUCAGGGGUAGGUGGCCUGACCUUGUUCUAUCUCUUAAGGACAUUCAGAACUAUUACCUGGGUGUGAAGGCUGGAUACUGUUGCUGAGCCAUUGUCCUUACUUUAGGCCAAGUGGUGGGGCAGUUUCUGACUAGUUGCAUGAAGCCUCAGUUUUUAGUCCUAAUCUCUUGAACUGCCAAUUUGAGACCUGUCAUGGAGUCAGCCUGUCUCAUCAUUUCACCCUCAGUUUGGGCCAUCUCCAAUCCUUGAGAGAUUUUAAUAAAACUGUUCUGAAACAAACCAAACUAAAGCACUGAUUAUGCAGAGACAGUAAGUCCAAGCUAACAUCAGUAGAAUCUGGCAUGGAUUCUUUGACCACCCCUGAGCAGCCAACAUAGAAACAUCAUUCGUCAUCUAAGGCUGCACAGAGUCCUCCCUACUAGAGGAACAGCAAGUCUAGGCCUCUUCUGUUCUCUCAGACCACUUCUGUCAGGGAUGCACUAUUUCAUCUCCUAUUUUCCUGUAUCUAUCUCUAUCCGUAGGGCCUUGAAAUUUUUAUCUAGGAGUAUUAGGACUGAGGCACCUACAAUAGCAGCUCCAGCCAGCCCUAUAGGCCAAGGAGAGAACCUAGAAACACAACAGAAGUGACCUGAUUGUGUGGAGGUGCUAGCUGGCUGGAGACAUCCUACCCAGAGUAGUAAGUCAUUCUGGGUACAAGCUGUACUAGAACAUAAAAAUCCUCAGUUGCAUUUAUAGCCAGGCCAUAAAUGUAUGUAGUAAGCCCUGAAGUACGCGUUACAGUGCAGUGGCAGAGGUGG